AUUGAACGCUGGCGGCAUGCUUUACACAUGCAAGUCGAACGGUAACAGGCCGCAAGGUGCUGACGAGUGGCGAACGGGUGAGUAAUGCAUCGGAACGUGCCCAGUCGUGGGGGAUAACGCAGCGAAAGCUGUGCUAAUACCGCAUACGAUCUAUGGAUGAAAGCGGGGGACCGUAAGGCCUCGCGCGAUUGGAGCGGCCGAUGUCAGAUUAGGUAGUUGGUGGGAUAAAGGCCUACAAAGCCGACGAUCUGUAGCUGGUCUGAGAGGACGACCAGACAAGCGGGGACUGAGACACGGCCCAGACUCCUACGGGAGGCAGCAGUGGGGAAUUUUGGAAAAUGGGCGCAAGCCUGAGCCAGCAAUGCCGCGUGCAGGAAGAAGGCCUUCGGGUUGUAAACUGCUUUUGUACGGAACGAAACGGUCUGGGUUAAUACCCUGGGCUAAUGACGGUACCGUAAGAAUAAGCACCGGCUAACUACGUGCCAGCAGCAGCCGCGGUAA
rnacentral:rRNA from 1 species